CCUACGGGAGGCAGCAGUAAGGAAUAUUGGUCAAUGGAGGCAACUCUGAACCAGCCAUGCCGCGUGCAGGAAGAAGGCCCUAUGGGUCGUAAACUGCUUUUGUACCAGAGAAAACCCGGGUACGUGUACUCGGUUGAUAGUAUGGUAAGAAUAAGCAUCGGCUAACUUCGUGCCAGCAGCCGCGGUAAGACGAAGGAUGCAAGCGUUAUCCGGAUUCAUUGGGUUUAAAGGGUGCGUAGGCGGACUGAUAAGUCAGUGGUGAAAUCUCUCGGCUUAACCGAGAAACUGCCAUUGAUACUGUUAGUCUAGAGUAUAGAUGACGUUGGCGGAAUAUGACAUGUAGUGGUGAAAUACUUAGAUAUGUCAUAGAACACCGAUUGCGAAGGCAGCUAACGAAACUAUAACUGACGCUGAGGCACGAAAGUGCGGGGAUCAAACAGGAUUAGAUACCCUGGUAGUCCGCACCGUAAACGAUGAUUACUCGUUGUUGGCAUAUGACCGUCAGCGACCAAGCGAAAGCGAUAAGAAUCCACCUGGGGAAGUACGCCGGCACGGUGAAACUUAAAGGAAUUGACCGGNGNGAGAGNGCGAGACGACGACGAGGAGGAGG
rnacentral:rRNA from 1 species